UUCAGCAGAGGCUUCAAUUCAUCCCCAAAACCCAGACCGACAGCUAGGCUUACACUAUUUUCUUGGCCUGGGGAGACGGCUUUUUUCCAGAGGACAAAGGCCGGCAGAGGAAGAAAGUUACCCAAUCCCCGUCGUCCAAACCUCUCACUCUACCCAGCAGUUGGAGAGGAAGAAAGUUAUCAGUGGAAUCCAAGCCCUCAUCGGCACCCAGAACUUGGAGAACGGCGAUCUCAUCACCGAUGCGGAGUGGUUCUACAUGAUGUCCCUCGCACGCUCUUUCUCCGUCAGCGAUGGAGUUCCAGGAAAGGCAUUUAUUGUGGGUUCUUUGUUUUGGUUGUUAGUCCUUCAGUUGUUUUCUUUAUCUUCUCGGAAUUGUGAGUGUUUUUUGAGUGACACGUGUUUUUGUUGAUGUAGAAGGCUAAUGGGUCGAAGUAGAGGCCACUGCCGAGAUCGUCGUCCACAUCGACAUCUUCCAACAACCCUGAGGAGCUAGAGAUUAAGAUUGCGGAGGUUUUGUAUGGGUUGAUGACUCAGUCGCAAGCUCUUUUGAAGAAAGAAAUUGCAUCGAACGAUACCAGAGAAGUAAACAACAGAUCCUGUGGCGAUACUAAACCCGUGUCUCAUCGCCAGUUUCCGGCUCUUUGUCGCCGGCGAUUUUUUCUUCGGUGCUGAAUUCCUCGUCGAAAGCUCCUUUUUUUGCUAGUGUUCGAAGCAGCCCGUCAUCGGCUUCUACUAAAACUGAGAUGGAUCAUACGAUGAAGGCGAAGGUUUCUUCUUCCCCAAAUUUCAAGAAAAUACCAGUUCAAAAUGAUGGUGGCUCUUUGUUAUAUGGUUUGAGCAGUUCAAUCAAUUCACAAUCAGAUCCAACAUCGGAGCCGAUGAAGGUGGAAUCGGAAUUCAAGCCGCUAGAGACGAAGCAAGCGCCGGAAAGUGGAGAUUAGGGCGAAGGUGUGCGAAGAAGGAAGAAAAAAAAGCCCUACCCGUUCGAUUGUCUUUGUUCGAAGAAGGUGUGGCGUGCAAGAUGAAUGCAAAUUCUUCAACAUCUAACUCGACCGGUAUGUACUAUGAAUAUGGUGAAUGGAUUCCUGUAAUACAUUGUCGUUGUGGGUAUCAAAUGAAGUUGCGAACUUCCUGGACGAACGAAAAUCCUGGGAGAAGGUUUUGGCAAUGCCCAAUGGCUAGGUGUAGCUCAAUGGAAUGGUUCGACCCUCCCAUGUGUAAGAGAUCGAAGAAAAUAAUCCCAGGUUUGCUAAGGAAGAUAAAUAAACAUGAAGAACAGAUUCAAAAGUUGCAGCAGGAGAAGUUGAAAGCUAAAGAAAAAAGUAAAGUCCAGUUACUCCGUGAUGAGCCAAUGCCAAUACAGUGGAAGAUUCAUGUACUUAUAAUGUUUGUAGCUAUCGUUGUAAUCCUACUUAUUUGUAACACUGACAGUAGGUUAGUGGAUUUAAAGCAGUUAAUGUAGUAUGUUGGGCAUUUAAGAUUGAACCAAAUGUUUGCUUUGUUGGAAUUCAAGUUGUUUGUAUUA